rnacentral:rRNA from 1 species
UACAGAGGUCUCAAGCGUUGUUCGGAUUCAUUGGGCGUAAAGGGUGCGUAGGCGGCGCGGUAAGUCGGGUGUGAAAUCUCGGAGCUUAACUCCGAAACUGCAUUCGAUACUGCCGUGCUUGAGGACUGGAGAGGAGACUGGAAUUUACGGUGUAGCGGUGAAAUGCGUAGAUAUCGUAAGGAAGACCAGUGGCGAAGGCGGGUCUCUGGGCAUGAUCUGACGCUGAGGAACGAAAGUGUGGGGAGCGAACAGG